rnacentral:sRNA from 1 species
CAAUACCAGAGCCUGGGGUGGAGGCGGGGGACCUUCCGGGACCUACCUCAGCCCCCGUAACUUCUGGGAGCCAGUCAGGUGGAAGGGGAUCCCCAGUGAGCCCCAGGAGGCAUCAGAAAGGUAAGUGAAGGCAGAGGGGAACCCAAGGUGAUACACAGGCCUCGUGAUAACCCCUGGGCAACCAGCUGCUUGGAACUCAGCCACCUUUGUGUUUACUUUCUGUCUAGGCCUCCUGAAUUGCAAGAUGCCACCUGCUGAGAAGGCUUCCAGGAUCAGAGCUGCUGAGAAGGUUUCCAGGGGCGAUCAGGAAUCUCCAGAUGCUUGUCUGCCUCCUACAGUGCCUGAAGCCCCAGCCCCACCCCAAAAGCCCCUUAACUCUCAGAGCCAGAAACAUCUUGCACCUCCACCCCUUCUUUCUCCCCUUUUACCUUCUAUCAAGCCAACCGUUCGUAAGACCAGGCAAGAUGGGAGUCAGGAAGCUCCAGAGGCUCCCUUGUCCUCAGAGCUGGAGCCUUUCCACCCAAAGCCUAAAAUUAGAACUCGGAAGUCCUCCAGAAUGACAACCUUUCCAGCUACCUCUGCUGCCCCUGAGCCCCACCCUUCCACCUCCACAGCCCAGCCAGUCACUCCCAAGCCCACAUCUCAGGCCACUAGGAGCAGGACAAAUAGGUCCUCUGUCAAGACCCCUGAACCAGUUGUCCCCACAGCCCCUGAGCUCCAGCCUUGCACCUCCACAGACCAGCCUGUCACCUCUGAGCCCACAUCUCAGGUUACUAGGGGAAGAAAAAGUAGAUCCUCUGUCAAGACCCCUGAAA